rnacentral:rRNA from 1 species
CAUAUCAAUAAGCGGAGGAAAAGAAACCAACAGGGAUUGCCCUAGUAACGGCGAGUGAAGCGGCAACAGCUCAAAUUUGAAAUCUGGCUCUCGGGCCCGAGUUGUAAUUUGUAGAGGAUGACUUUGAUGCGGUGCCUUCCGAGUUCUCUGGAACGGGACGCCAUAGAGGGUGAGAGCCCCGUCUGGUUGGAUGCCAAAUCUCUGUAAGUCUCCUUCGACGAGUCGAGUAGUUUGGGAAUGCUGCUCUAAAUGGGAGGUAUAUGUCUUCUAAAGCUAAAUACCGGCCAGAGACCGAUAGCGCACAAGUAGAGUGAUCGAAAGAUGAAAAGCACUUUGAAAAGAGAGUUAAAAAGUACGUGAAAUUGUUGAAAGGGAAGCGUUUAUGACCAGACUUGGGCUUGGUUAAUCAUCUGGGGUUCUCCCCAGUGCACUUUUCCAGUUCAGGCCAGCAUCAGUUUCCGCCGGGGGAUAAAGACUUCGGGAAUGUGGCUCCUCUCGGGGAGUGUUAUAGCCCGUUGUGUAAUACCCUGGUGGGGACUGAGGUUCGCGCUUCUGCAAGGAUGCUGGCGUAAUGGUCAUCAACGACCCGUCUUGAAACACGGAC